UAGUGCAGGCAAGAUAUAUGGGACUGACAUGCAAGGAUUCUUAGGGAAAGUGAACUCUACCAAGGGUGUGAGAGGGAGACGGUGACAGCUGAAUACCACCUUGAGGGUGACAGUGGUUACCUCAGUAAAAAGUGGCUUCUGACACUAUAUCUUUGACCUCUGCCUGGCCCCAUACUCCAACUACAAUAGAGAUGGUGCUCAACUUCUACAACCCGUUGCUGCAUCAUCCACCGAGAUGGUGGAUGUCUCGGCACCAGCAGGAGGUUCAGCUGUGUUUGGCGUUGGAAGUGCUGCGGUAGCAUUUGUACUGUUAUGACCAUUGACAACAAAUGUUAGUUAAACCAUCACAAGCAUAUCUAUUGCGGAUCUAUCUCACUAUCUAUAUAAGAGGUGAACAAUCCUCUCAAGGAGGAAGUAUCCAAGACAAGUCACCCUUCCCUCUUCCUGUCCCCAUACUCCUCAUUCACAGUGUAAGUGUAUAUGGUAUGUGUGUGCUUGCCUCAUUUUUUGCUGUCCUCCUCCUGGAGGAGGGUGUUGGCUUUGUCUAUACAUAGUUAGAUAGUUAAUGUCCCUACACUUCAGUUUUAAAGAUAUUUUGUAUGCUCUUAUUGAUAUUUUCAGCAGGAAAGUAAGGUAUUGUUAUUGUGUUGCAGACAGGUACAGAGUGCACUUGUCAUUAAGACACUUUCAUGUGUGGAUGCAUUCCUUGUGAGCUGCCAUUUCCAACCAUAUACACACCUUCCAUAAUUGAAUAUCAACAUUGGAAAUUCUUCAAAUCAAUGAGACCCAUCAGUUUGAUUAGGUUAAGUUACUGAAGUUAUACCAUGUUAGUUUAGGGUUAAAGUUAGUUAUGUGUAAGCUGGCAGAAGUUGUCCUUUAUAUCUGGAAGCAUUAAAUACAAUAAAUAGAUAGUUUGUU